CCUACGGGAGGCAGCAGUGGGGGAUAUUGCACAAUGGGGGAAACCCUGAUGCAGCGACGCCGCGUGGGUGAAGAAGCGCCUCGGCGCGUAAAGCCCUGUCAGUAGGGAAGAAAAUGACGGUACCUGAAGAAGAAGCCCCGGGUAACUACGUGCCAGCAGCCGCGGGAAUACGUAGGGGGCAAGCGUUAAUCGGAUUUACUGGGUGUAAAGGGGGGGCAGACGGCGAUGCAAGCCAGGAGUGAAAGCCCGGGGACCAACCCCGGGACUGCUCUUGGAACUGGGUGGCUAGAGUGCAGGAGGGGCAUGCGGAAUGCCUGGUGUAGCGGUGAAAUGCAUAGAUAUCAGGAGGAACACCGGUGGCGAAGGCGGCCUGCUGGACUGCAACUGACGUUGAGGCCCGAAAGCGUGGGGAGCGAACAGGAUUAGAUACCCGAGUAGUC
rnacentral:rRNA from 1 species